rnacentral:rRNA from 1 species
GAUGAACGCUGGCGGCGUGCCUAAUACAUGCAAGUCGAGCGAAUGGAUUAAGAGCUUGCUCUUAUGAAGUUAGCGGCGGACGGGUGAGUAACACGUGGGUAACCUGCCCAUAAGACUGGGAUAACUCCGGGAAACCGGGGCUAAUACCGGAUAACAUUUUGAACCGCAUGGUUCGAAAUUGAAAGGCGGCUUCGGCUGUCACCUAUGGAUGGACCCGGGUCGCAUUAGCUAGUUGGUGAGGUAACGGCUCACCACGGCAACGAUGCGUAGCCGACCUGAGAGGGUGAUCGGCCACACUGGGACUGAGACACGGCCCAGACUCCUACGGGAGGCAGCAGUAGGGAAUCUUCCGCAAUGGACGAAAGUCUGACGGAGCAACGCCGCGUGAGUGAUGAAGGCUUUCGGGUCGUAAAACUCUGUUGUUAGGGAAGAACAAGUGCUAGUUGAAUAAGCUGGCACCUUGACGGUACCUAACCAGAAAGCCACGGCUAACUACGUGCCAGCCGCCGCGGUAA